AGGACUAACGCUGGCGGCGUGCCUAACACAUGCAAGUCGAACGGGGUAGCAAUACCCAGUGGCAGACGGGUGAGUAACACGUGGUCAACCUACCUCUGUGUGGGGGAUAACUAGCCGAAAGGUUAGCUAAUACCGCAUACGAUCGUUUUGAGGCAUCUCGAGACGAUGAAAGGAGCAAUCCGCACGGAGAGGGGACUGCGUCCCAUUAGUUAGUUGGUGGGGUAACGGCCUACCAAGACUCCGAUGGGUAGCUGGCUUGAGAGAGCGACCAGCCACACUGGAACUGAGAAACGGUCCAGACUCCUACGGGAGGCAGCAGUGAGGAAUUUUCCGCAAUGGGCGAAAGCCUGACGGAGCGACGCCGCGUGUGGGAUGAAGGCCUUCGGGUCGUAACCACUGUCGAAGGGACGAUAAUGACGGUACCCUGGAGGAGCCCGGCUAACUACGUGCCAGCAGCCGC
rnacentral:rRNA from 1 species